rnacentral:rRNA from 1 species
GUAGGUGGCAAGCGUUGUCCGGAAUUAUUGGGCGUAAAGCGCGCGCAGGCGGUUCUUUAAGUCUGAUGUGAAAGCCCACGGGCUCAACCGUGGAGGGUCAUUGGAAACUGGAGAACUUGAGUACAGAAGAGGAAAGCGGAAUUCCACGUGUAGCGGUGAAAUGCGUAGAGAUGUGGAGGAACACCAGUGGCGAAGGCGGCUUUCUGGUCUGUAACUGACGCUGAGGCGCGAAAGCGUGGGGAGCAACCAGGAUUAGAUACCCUGGUAGUCCACGCCGUAAACGAUGAGUGCUAAGUGUUAGGGGGUUUCCGCCCCUUAGUGCUGCAGCUAACGCAUUAAGCACUCCGCCUGGGGAGUACGGCCGCAAGGCUG